UGCUUCAAAAAGCAGACAGUUCUAUCUGAAAGUAGUUAGUCAAAAAAAGUUACCUAUCAUGAUUAGUAAUCAAAGCUUUGAGUAGUACAAAACACUGUGUGCUAGUGAAAUCCUUUUUCAUUUUCCAAAGAAAAUCACAAUUUAUAAGUAGAUAUGAACUUUCAAUAACAGAUGCACUUAGUGGCAGGGACACAGUAACAAUGGUAUAAAGGAAUAAAUUAACUGUGGCCUCUUUUCAACUCAGGAUCAUUAACACACUGUUUUAAUUAAGGCAAGUUCAACCAAAUACAUACAUUUACAAAACAGAAAAAUAAAAAGUUUUGCCAAUCUGGUCUCAAUAUUAGCUGUGUGAUCUUGGGCAUGUUACUUAAUGUGCAUGUCUCAGUUUCUCCACUGUAAAAUGGAAGUAACAGUACCUUCCUUAUAAGAAUUACUUUACAACUAAACCAAAAAAAGCAUGGAAAAGGGUCUGGUAUGUAGCAAGCAUAAAUAUUAUGUUCCCUUGGCACCAAUUAAUCCUAAGAAAUCUUAAGAGGUGGUACAUGUUUGUACAAAUAUAUUAGGCAUAUUGGGAAAUGUAUUUUAUGAAUUAAGAUAUUUUGUAAGAUUCCGAGUCAUGUUAAAACACUUUUUUGACUUUUUUUUCUUAACUGUUUUUGUACCCCAGAGGGCUACAGUACCUAUUUUAUUAUUCUUUGCCUCCUUUUAAAGUGGAAGAAGUUCUGAACUUUAUAUUAUACCACAAGUCUGGAACUUUUUCUUUAUAGAAUUAAUAUGGCCUUCUUUGUGUAUAAUACUACAAAACUAGCAAUAAAUAUAGUGAAGAAAGAAGUAGACUUUUCAACUUCAGAUCAUAAAAGCUUAAACUGAUAUUAAUCAAAUGCAAUGGAAUCAGACUUUCCCCCUUCUGAUUAUUGCACCACUAGAAUGAAUGACUGAUGAAUGGGAGCUUUUGGUUCAUUGAUUAUUUUGACUUACAAAGUUACAAUAUGUAAGCUAUAUAAAUAUUUCCAAUUAACAAAAAAUCGAAAUGAAAAAAAACUCUUUACUGAACCUAAACUGUACCUAACAUGUGCUCAAAGCUAUUCCACUGAAUCAUAUUUGGAUGAUUUAGAAAACAUUCACGAUCUUGAUCAUAUGCACUAAUUUUAAAUUGUAGGGUUAUUGGAAGUGUUUGUUAAUAGAAUUUGCUAAAGAGAAUCCUAAAUAAGAAACAGGUGAUGUAAUCUUUCUUAUCCAGCUAAAUGGCAGCCUCUAGUAAUUCAUCCUACUAAGUUGCUGAGCAUUCUACUGUGGAACUGUAAAGAACUCUGAAAAAGCAAAAAAAGCCAUGACUACCAAACCUAAAUGCCAGAGGUGAAGUUUCACAUUUUGUGCUGCACUUAAAAACACAAAAGACCGCCAACAUGUUAGAAUCCUACGACUGGCUUUCAAAAAAAAAGAAAAAAAAAAAAAAACAACACCUACUCCUGUUAACAACGAACAGAUUUGUUCCCAUCUACAAAGCACAGUGCCAUUGUGCUCAGGAGGGAGAUGUCACAGUCUUAAGCCUAACUUAGUAAUUCUUCCCAGAGUAGCUACUCCUCUGUCAAAAAUGAUGCUUUAAUUAAUGGUCUGGUGGGCUGGAGGGAAGCAAUGUCAUUUAUAAAGAGGCUUACAAAUAGUGAACACCAUCAGGAAAAAAUAAUGUUAAGUGAGCAUUUAUUUGUGUGAAGGUAUGAGGAAAGAGGUUUCUCUAAAUACAAUAAUUCCAAAAAUAUAUUUCCUUUUUGGAGCGGAAGUUACUUAAUAUUCAGGCUGUAACCGCAAGAGUUAAUACUAGGAAGAUAUCUACAAUCUCCACCCUAUAUUUUGUUUACCACCAGCACUCAAAAUGUUGUUUGUUUUUGACUUACCAAUGACAUCUAACACUGAUGUGUCAAAAGCAUGCUUGCAAUUGCCUUGAAAUAAAGGUUUUGGGAAGGGAAGGGUGGAAUGCUGAAACUCUGUAACAGGACCCUGACAGGAGCACAGUCAUAUAUUUUCACUGGCUCUUCGGUAUCUAAUUACUCAGCAGAACAGAUUUUACUUUCCUUGACAGUCUGCUCUAAAAAGCAAGCAACCAGCCACAGUUAGCAGUUGUAAGGUUUGUAAAGAUGGAAUAAGGCUAUACGUUCAAGUAUUUUACAACCUACCGCUCACUAUUCCAAAUAGUUAUAUAACAUUCUUCCGAGGACCAAAUCAGUAGGAUGGUAUUUAAAGCACCUCUCGGUACCUGGGAGGGGCACCAAAGCCAGGAAACAGCCCAAAACAAACACAAGUGAGGUUGUGGUUAAAGUAAUGACGGAGUUUGUGCAUAAAUAAGGACGACUCUGUGGUGAAUGCGCUGUGUGUCCGGGAUGUCUGCAAUAUGUGGGGGUGAGAGCGGGGACACCGGAUUUGUGCGCGCAUAAGUAAGGGCAGUGCGUGUAGUCUCUCCGAACUGGGCGUGUGAUGUUUGCUUCUGGGGUUGACAUGUCUCAGGCCGCCGGGUCUGCCGUGCGCACCUAGGGAGCGCGUCUGCGGCGUGUGUCUACGAAGGCGGACAGCUGGUAUUUAACUGUGCUGUGCCCCGGCACAGUCCAUGUGAAGAGAGCAGGGGUCUGAGUAUCAGUCAGGGGACCGCAAGCGCCCUCCCAGGGGCCAGGAGCAGCGACUUUGGCGCGAGGGGCACCUAGAUCCGGAUCUCGGAGCCUGGGUCGCCCCUCCUCCCCUCCGGCCACACGGCACUCCUCCACCCCCUCCGCCCACCUCGGUCCCGGCUUCGGCCGCACUCACCCCUCUCCAGCCGCACAGGUUCCCCCAGCGCCGCCAUCUUCUCCCUUUGCCUGCAGACCCACAGGAAAUGACGACAUAGGGCUGCGGUGGAGGGGCGGGGCUUAGCAGGAGCUGGCAGGGAAACGGCCUGUCAGUAUCGCGAGAGUAGGACCUGUGGCUUAGAGAGUGGUGGAGGCUACCUGGGCUCUAUGCCCUCAAGGUAUUUCCCACGUGGGCCAAGGCUCCAUGGAAUUACCCAGACUAGAGCCUUCCAGGUUCGAAACUGUACCUAAGAGAUGGGGACAACCUUUCUUCUCAGAUGACAUUCUCUGUCAACAAAGAGGAACAUCCUGGAGGAAGAGUUCUCAGGGAUUUUGCUAACAUCAGGGUCAAAAAGAGAAGGAAGUUUUGUUGAACUUCACCUUUGAGAAGAAAGCUAGAAGACGGAGGCGCAAGAUUGUUUCAGUUACUCUGAAAUGAACUGCAGAUGGGAGAAAUAUAAAAUAUUGCCACAGC